AUGACGCGUCCGAGGCCUUCCGUCUCCGCAGGCGGGCCGUCCAGGGGCCCGAGCUGCCCUCGGCCACGCCUGUCCCCUCCUCUCUCUCCUUUCCUAGGAACGGGAUCCGCCCGCGUCACCGCGAGGCGCAGAGGGGCUGGGUCCCAGGAAAGGCGAAGCCGCGGGGCUGGCAUGGGGUCCGGCGCUUCUCUGGAGGUCCCGGGCUCCGGGCGCCACGAGGCCGGGCUCUGGAGACCCCCGGGGCGAGGCGACUUCAGGGGCGACUCCGGUGUCCGCGCCGGCCUCCAGAAAGUUCCCUGGCCACCCGCGGGGUCACUCACUGGGCCAUGGCGGCGAUGGCGGCGGCGGCAAAGCAGGCUGGAGCAAGCAGACCCGAAGCACAGGGAGCGCACGGCGAGGACGACCCGGGAUGAGUCCCGAUCCGGCUCGCCCCCGGAGGCUUUGGCCGCGGCUUUCCAGCGCUGGCCAAUCGGAAGGAUGGGGCGUAGUCUUGAUGGCACUUCAUUGGUCCGGCCCGGCGCCUGUUGGACCACCUGAGGAAAGUAGGCCCGCCCACUCCUAGGGCUGGCUCAGGAGAGCGCCGAGCACAUCGAUGACAUCGCCUGCUCGCCCGCGGGGGCGUGGCGCGGGUCCCAGGCAAAGGACACUUAGGGCCUGAGUUCUGCUCUGAGCCUCGGUCCGGAAGAGUGGUGGCUCACGUCGGGCCGCCCUUUCCAGUGCAGCGGGCACUUGGACGCCUGUUGUCCAAGUGUCCAUCACUCCCUUCCGCCGCGCACACUCUGGGGAUUAUGCGUGGAAUUGCUCCACCCUGGACAGGGCCCGAGGUUGUAGAGCCCUGAGCUACUCCAUCUUGUAAAAGAAUUCCAUUUUUGCAAAGGUACCGGGCAAACAGACUUAGACUUUGGAUAUUGCCUAAACUUGCCCCGCUAUGCACAAGCCAAUCAGCCCUUAGGAUAAACCUCCUGACUUUAAGUUCAAGGAUUUGUGAUUUACCUUGGAAGUGAUGAUUUACCUUUGCGAAAUAACGAUUCACCCUGUAAGUGAAAAAAAAACAAUCAGAGAUCCACACACGACCCUAUAGAAGAGGGUAACCAAUCAGUAGUCCUUCAGCCUGAACACCCCUUUUUGUUACCCUUUCACCUGAAUAUUCCCUAUAUAAGCAGUGUAACCCAAAACUCGGGGCUCCUCUCCUUAGCCGCUGCGUUGGUAACAGUGGGAGCCCUAGCUGGAGCUUGGUAAUAAAAACUCUUGCUUUUGAAUCGGAUACCGGCUCCCUGGUGGUCACUGGGAGAUUUCGCGAAUUGGGCAUAACAAGGUGCAUUCUUUCCUUUUUAAAUUUUUAUUUAUUUGGCUGCGCCUGGCUCUUAGUUGCUGCUUAAGGGAUCUUUAGUUCUAGUUACAUCAUAAGAACUCUCAGUUGUGGCAGGGGGGAUCUUAGUUGCCCCACCAGGCAUCAAACCCAGACCCCGCAGUCUUAGCCACUGGAGCACCAGGGAAGUCCCCGGAGGUGUAUUCUUGUCUGUAGACACAUGUGACGAGUGCCAAGAAACGUUGCUCCUCACCACAACCUUGUGGGGGAGACGAGUUGCCUCUUUUUACAGGUGAAGAAACAGGCUCAGAGAGCAGGAGGGGAAGUACUUGCUGGGCUGCGAUGGGGCCUGGCAUGGAGGUCGAGAAGCCACGUAAGGGUGAACGGGCAGUUCAGGGCAUUAAAUACCAUCUCCCACGUGCGCAGUCCCUGGUGCACGAGGCGUCUUCACGCUCAGCCCUGAACCCUGCCGCCUCCUGUGCAGAUGCCCGUGAACGAAGCUUAGCUCCUCGGGAACCUUUUAGAGUUUUGUUCUGUUUUCUAUGGAUGCUUGGUAUCACCUAACAGUGCCUUGCACAUUGUAAGUGCUCAGCAGCUGCUUAACUACUAGAAUCACACAGCCAGUAAAUGGCUAGAUAGUGACCCAGCUGUGACCCAUUCAAGGCUAUUUCCGUGACACCAAUUGCACAGGUUAAUAUGUAACAUAGGUUUUAACAGAUACUGUUACAACUUCCACCUUAGCAGAGGUCCCACUGUAGCGCUUUUUUGCCUAUUGAAAGUCCUGUGUUAGUUAAAUCACAGAAACAAUGUUUCUGUUAAUGCAAUGUUUCUGUUAAUUCUGUUAAUGCAAUAGUGGAAUCUUACUCUGAAAUUUUACAAUGGUAUCACAGCCCACUUUAUCUUGUAUGUACCUAUUCUAUAUGAGGGUUCCUCCACUAGAAACAUUCUUUGUAUCAGGUUUUUUUUCCUUGAGUUGCUUCCAUAUUUGCCUGUUUUGCACUGGCCAUGCCUUAUUAUACUUCCUAGUGUACGAUUUUUCUUUUCUUUUUACUCUCCUGUUGCCUGGCAGGCACAUUCAUGGACUGUGGUUGACUCACGGCACAGAUGUCUAGGUGGAGCCAAGCUUAGCACAGAACUUCCUCCUGAAGGCAAGAGCAGUCCCUGCCCAUGGGUCCCUUCUUGCUUCUAUGGGUGCAGAAUAUAGCUGUAAGCAAGCCUUGUAUUUAUUUUAAAGCUAUAACCAAGGUGCCCAGCUGCCCUCAGCACUACCCUGAAUGGGAAGGAAGUGACUAGGGAGAUAUAAACUGAUAAGCCAGGCAAACCAGAGCAUGAAAGCUGACUGCCACAGUGAGCCCUGCACUGAGACCUGAGCCUUAAUCCCAUUUCUACCCAAACAGGGGAUUUGGUAGCUUUAGAUGAACCAGCUGGUCAGAAUCUUGGAGCUCUUUCAGCCCAGUGUCCCCAAACUCCAGUGAUGUUUAUUGGCUCAUCAAAUCUUUGUUGCGGCAUUCAGGCUUCUCUCUAGUUGCCAUGCUGUGGGCUUAGAUGUGUGUGUGGCCUCUUAAUUCCCAACCAGGGAUUGAACCUGCGUCCCCUGCAUUGGAGGAAGAUUCUUAAUUACUUGAUCACCAUGGAAGUCCCACAGGGAGCUUGUUCAAAGUGAAUUCUGAGGCCACAGGUCUGGGAUAGGCCAAGAAAUGUGCAUUUUGUCAAGACCUCCUGGUGAUUCUGAGUGCUGGAGGAAAGAAUUCUCAAAGAGUGAUCAGGACCUCUGGAAGUCUUUGAGACCCUUUCCAGGGAAGUGGGGACAAAGCUAUUUCCUGGUAUUAUUUGCCUUCUUCAUUCUCUUUCUCUCACAAGUGUACUGUGGAGUUUCCCUGAGGGCUGCAUCACAUGUAACACAGUUCAGUUCAGUUCACUUCAGUUCAGUCACUCAGUCGUGUCCGACUCUUUGCGACCCCAUGAAUGGCAAAACGCCAGGCCUCCCUGUCCAUCACCGUCUCCCGGAGUUCACUCAGACUCACGUCCAUCGAGUCCGUGAUGCCAUCCAGCCAUCUCAUCCUCGGUCGUCCCCGUCUCCCCCUGCCCCCAAUCCCUCCCAGCAUCAGAGUCUUUUCCAAUGAGUCAGCUCUUCGCAUGAGGUGGCCAAAGUACUGGAGUUUCAGCUUUAGCAUCAUUCCUUCCAAAGAA
rnacentral:lncRNA from 1 species